UCCUUAGAGGGCAUCUGAAGAGGAACAAAGAUCACUUGCUUGCGGAUGGGGAUGCGUCUGAUUAGUUAGUCGGCGGGGUAACGGCCCACCGAGACGACGAUCAGUAGGGGUUCUGAGAGGAAAGUCCCCCACCAUUGGAACUGAGACACGGCCCAGACUCCUACGAGAGGCAGCAGUGGGGAAUAUUGGGCAAUGGGGGCAACCCUGACCCAGCGACGCCGCGUGAAGGACGAAGGCAUUCGUGUUGUAAACUUCUUUGGAGAGGGACGAAAAUGACGGUACCUCUCGAACAAGCCACGGCUAACUACGUGCCAGCAGCCGCGGUAAUACGUAGGUGGCAAGCGUUAUCCGGAAUUACUGGGUGUAAAGGGCGCGCAGGCGGCCCUGCAAGUCGGAUGUGAAAGAUCAAGGCUCAACCUUGACAGGCCAUUCGAAACUGUGGGGCUUGAGUGUCAGAGGGGAAAGUGGAAUUCCUAGUGGAGCGGUAAAAUGCGCAGAUAUUAGGAGGAACACCGGUGGCGAAGGCGACUUUCUGGCUGACAACUGACGCUGAGGCGCGAAAGCGUGGGGAGCAAACAGGAUUAGAUACCCUGGUAGUCCACGCCGUAAACGAUGAUUACUAGGUGUAGGGGGUAUCGACCCCUUCUGUGCCGGAGUUAACACA
rnacentral:rRNA from 1 species